rnacentral:lncRNA from 1 species
GUAUGAGAGUGUUCACAUGUGGGUGGACUCGAUCACACCAGGUAGAAAUCACAAGGUGUGUGCAAACCAAAGACAAAAACGUCAACUGAAGUUGGUUCUGACCCAGGUGACUUUCAAGGAAAUAUGAAACCUGUCAUCCAGGAGUAAUGCCAUUCGAUUUGUGUGGUCAGAGGUUCAAUGGUCUCCACUCCCUCACUGAUGAGAAGGAGAUCAGCACUUCAGGGUGACUGGGAAACUUAACACUUCACCUCCACCACUGGACAGGUAGGUUGACAGCCAUUGAACACACACACUCACAGUCAGGGCCACGAGGGCCCUGCAAGCUUUCCACAGAGGGACUUUCCUUGAUCGCGGAGAGAACUGUAUACAAGGACUGAAGAACUUGUUGGGUAGCUGUUGUUUUCACUGCCUUGAGGGAGGAAGGCAUUCUGUGGGCAAAGUCAGAGAACCACUAUGUGUAGGGGAUGUGAGUACUCAUGUGAGGGGAGAAAUGGCAACACCAGGUACAAAUCAGUAACUGUGAGCCGACCAAAGCCAACCCCAUCAAAAAAGAUGGGUGCUACUCAGGUGGUUUCUCUGUACCAUGGAACCAGUCACCAAGAGCAAUUAGUAAAAGCUGAGCAGCUGUUUUCAUUCAUGUUCACUCCAUUCUGUUUAUGCUGCAAAGGUUUCUAACAGCCUCCCAUUCACACCACUAGCUACAAAUGAAUUAGCACCCAGGGUGACUUGGACAAACAUGUAACACCCCCACUGGACACAUAAGAAAAAUGGAAAUAUAUUACAUACACACAGAGUUAUGCAGAGGAUAGCACAGUAAGCCAUCCAGGCCCACAGAGGGAUUGUCAUUGGAUGCAGAGAGAAGAGUGGGCAAGGGGCAAAGACUUUGUAGUGUGAUAGCAAAAGCAAAUGUGACUCCAUUUUGUUUUGUGACUUCAUCCUGUAAAACAACCAUGCCAAGUAGAAGAGUCAUGACUGGGGCAAGAUGUUCUUUUCCUUUUGCUAUAGAAUCCUUUAAGAACACGGAACUACCUAAUGGGGCAUUGUUUCUGUAAGUAGGGUAACAGGGCUCUGUUUCUGUAACUGGGGUGACUGGGCUAACUGUGAUUGGUUAGGCUUCCCUCCGCUUGACUGCACUGUCCCGCUUCUGUAACCUGGCUUGCUUGCAUUGGCUAGACCCCCUGAACAUCCCUUUUGCGGUUUUCAGGUUUAUAAGGAGUGCCCUUGCAAUUGUUUGGGGCUGAUCAGGGGAAGAGCUUUAUGUUCUGGUCAGCUGCCACCGGGGUGUGCUUCAAUAAAG